rnacentral:misc_RNA from 1 species
GUAUACCGUACCCUGUUGCUUCGGCGGGCCCGCCUCACGGCCGCCGGGGGACCUCGUGUCCCCGGGCCCGCGCCCGCCGAAGACCCCAACACGAACACUGUCUGAAAAGUGCAGUCUGAGUCGAUUGUUACCAAUCAGUCAAAACUUUCAACAAUGGAUCUCUUGGUUCCGGCAUCGAUGAAGAACGCAGCGAAAUGCGAUAACUAAUGUGAAUUGCAGAAUUCAGUGAAUCAUCGAGUCUUUGAACGCACAUUGCGCCCCCUGGUAUUCCGGGGGGCAUGCCUGUCCGAGCGUCAUUGCUGCCCUCAAGCACGGCUUGUGUGUUGGGCCCCGUCCCCGGUACCCCCGGGGACGGGCCCGAAAGGCAGCGGCGGCACCGCGUCCGGUCCUCGAGCGUAUGGGGCUUUGUCACCCGCUCUGCAGGCCCGGCCGGCGCCAGCCGACCAACCCAACCAUUUUUUACAGGUUGACCUCGGAUCAGGUAGGGAUACCCGCUGAACUUAAGCAUAUCAAUAAGCGGAGGA